AUUGAACGCUGGCGGCAGGCCUAACACAUGCAAGUCGAACGGAGUGGCGGACGGGUGAGUAAUGUCUGGGAAACUGCCUGAUGGAGGGGGAUAACUAAUGGAAAAGGUAGCUAAUACCGCAUACUAUCAGAUGAGCCGAGGUCGGAUUAGCUAGUUGGUGGGGUAAAGGCCAACCAAGGCGACGAUCCGUAACUGGUCUGAGAGGAUGAUCAGUCACACUGGAACUGAGACACGGUCCAGACUCCUACGGGAGGCAGCAGUGGGGAAUAUUGGACCAUGGGCGAAAGCCUGAUCCAGCCAUGCCGCGUGUGUGAAGAAGGUCUUCGGAUUGUAAAGCACUUUAAGUUAGGAGGCGUUACCAUCAGAAUAAGCACCGGCUAACUUCGUGCCAGCAGCCGCGGUAAUUC
rnacentral:rRNA from 1 species